UACGGGGGGAGCAAGCGUUGUUCGGAUUUACUGGGCGUAAAGGGCGCGUAGGCGGUCAGCGCAAGUCAGUUGUGAAAUCUCUGGGCUUAACCCAGAACGGUCAACUGAUACUGCGCGACUAGAGUGCAGAAGGGGCAACUGGAAUUCUCGGUGUAGCGGUGAAAUGCGUAGAUAUCUGGAGGAACACCGGUGGCGAAGGCGGCAUCCUGGACCAACACUGACACUGAGGAGCGAAAGCCAGGGGAGCAAACGGG
rnacentral:rRNA from 1 species